GAUGAACGCUAGCUACAGGCUUAACACAUGCAAGUCGAGGGGCAGCACAGUGUAGCAAUACAUGGGUGGCGACCGGCGCACGGGUGCGUAACGCGUAUCCAACCUUCCCGUUACUCAGGGAUAGCCUUCCGAAAGGGAGAUUAAUACCUGAUGGUGUUCAAAUUCCGCAUGUUAUUCGAACUAAAGAUUUAUCGGUAUCGGAUGGGGAUGCGUGACAUUAGAUAGUAGGCGGGGUAACGGCCCACCUAGUCUACGAUGUCUAGGGGUUCUGAGAGGAAGGUCCCCCACACUGGAACUGAGACACGGUCCAGACUCCUACGGGAGGCAGCAGUGAGGAAUAUUGGUCAAUGGUCGGAAGACUGAACCAGCCAAGUAGCGUGAAGGAUGAAGGUUCUAUGGAUUGUAAACUUCUUUUAUACGGGAAUAAAACCUCCCACGUGCGGGAGCUUGUAUGUACCGUAUGAAUAAGCAUCGGCUAACUCCGUGCCAGCCGCCGCUGUAACAC
rnacentral:rRNA from 1 species